rnacentral:misc_RNA from 1 species
AAAGACUUUUUUUGUAAAUUCCUUCUCACUAUUGUAUUAGAUCAGAUGUUUGAAUUUUCAAAUUUAACAGUAAUGCAUCUACCAUCAAUGUUUGAAAAAUCUCAUGUUCAUAUUAAAAACUAUAAUCUAUGAGAGUUGCGUAUUGUGUGAUUUUAUUUCAGUCGCGAUUAUUUAUAAGGUAUGCACGUACAAAUUGUUGACACUUUCAAAUGUUGCUUUCCAAAGUUCGAUUCUUUCUUUGGAAUGUCAUUGAGAUCCACCUCGGGGAUCAUUAAUUUCGUCGACAUCUCGGCGAUCGUACGUUUAAACGAAAUGAUGGGAAAUACUACCUGGAGGGAAAUAUCUAUCCACUUUCUGUUUCAGAGUAUGUUCAAAUGAACUUAGUAAUUGGCAUAUUUAAUAUUAUUUUAGCAAUUGUGUCAUCAGUUGGAAUUGCAAGAGAGAAAAAAAUCCUUAUUAGACCAUGGAUUGUUAUGAAUUUUAGCACUUUGUACAUAAUAAUUUUGAAAGUAUUGAUUCUAAUAAUCAUGUCAAUUUCUGGGAUGCUGACUUAUACAACAAUAAUAAUAAGAAGUGUUGCACAUUUUGUGCACUUUGGAGUUGAGUUUUCACUUCUUAGUGUCCUGAUCAACUAUGACAUUUUCAUAUCUUCCAAGGCUGUAACUAACUGAUAUUUUACAUCAUAAUAAACAAUUUUAUAAA